rnacentral:rRNA from 1 species
AUGUCGAUGGUGAGGCGGAGCAACGUCUUCGAUCCCUUCGCGGACCUCUGGGCGGACCCCUUCGACACCUUCCGCUCCAUCGUCCCGGCGAUGAUCUCAGGCAACAACAACAACGACGAGACAGCUGCGUUCGCCAACGCUCGCGUGGACUGGAAGGAGACCCCUGAGGCGCACGUCUUCAAGGCCGACCUCCCCGGCGUGAAGAAGGAGGAGGUCAAGGUGGAGGUGGAGGACGGCAACGUGCUCGUCGUCAGCGGCGAGCGCACGAAGGAGGAGGAGGACAAGAACGACAAGUGGCACCGUGUGGAGCGUAGCAGCGGCAAGUUCGUGAGGCGCUUCCGCCUGCCCGAGGACGCCAAGGUGGAGGAGGUGAAGGCCGGUCUGGAGAACGGUGUGCUCACUGUCACGGUGCCCAAGGCCGAGGUGAAGAAGCCUGAGGUGAAGGCCAUCGAGAUCACCGGCUGA